rnacentral:misc_RNA from 1 species
GAUGAAGAACGCAGCGAAAUGCGAUAAGUAGUGUGAAUUGCAGAAUUCAGUGAAUCAUCGAAUCUUUGAACGCACAUUGCGCCCCCUGGUAUUCCGGGGGGCAUGCCUGUCCGAGCGUCAUUGCUGCCCUCAAGCACGGCUUGUGUGUUGGGCCCCCGCCCCCCGGUCCCGGGGGGCGGGCCCGAAAGGCAGCGGCGGCACCGCGUCCGGUCCUCGAGCGUAUGGGGCUUUGUCACCCGCUCUGUAGGCCCGGCCGGCGCCCGCCGGCGACCCCAAUCAAUCUUUUUCAGGUUGACCUCGGAUCAGGUAGGGAUACCCGCUGAACUUAAGCAUAUCAAUAAGCGGAGGA